CCUACGGGUGGCUGCAGUGGGGAAUAUUGGACAAUGGGGGGAACCCUGAUCCAGCCAUGCCGCGUGUGUGAAGAAGGCCCUCGGGUUGUAAAGCACUUUCAGUGAGGAAGAACGCCUGGUGGUUAAUACCCAUCAGGAAAGACAUCACUCACAGAAGAAGCACCGGCUAACUCCGUGCCAGCAGCCGCGGUAAUACGGAGGGUACGAGCGUUAAUCGGAAUUACUGGGCGUAAAGCGCGCGUAGGUGGCUUGAUAAGCCGGUUGUGAAAGCCCCGGGCUCAACCUGGGAACGGCAUCCGGAACUGUCAAGCUAGAGUGCAGGAGAGGAAGGUAGAAUUCCCGGUGUAGCGGUGAAAUGCGUAGAGAUCGGGAGGAAUACCAGUGGCGAAGGCGGCCUUCUGGACUGACACUGACACUGAGGUGCGAAAGCGUGGGUAGCAAACAGGAUUAGAUACCCUAGUAGUC
rnacentral:rRNA from 1 species